ACAGAAGACGAAGAGCUGGAAUAGAGCUCGCCUCGGCUCUGCUGGCCUUGGCUGCAGCUCUUCCAGAAACCCGGGGCGCCCACAGAAGAAUCUCUUACCUGGCUCUCUCUUCAGGGAUGACAUCAUCGGCUCACACCAGUCUUCCAGGACCACCUUCUGGAUGCCAAGGCUGCUGCUCGAGUACCUGCUGUGCACCUCUACCUCCUGGUACCCCAGCCACUCCCUCAAGUUGCCUGCAUGUUAUAUGGCCUAGCCAAGGAGCACGGAUUCCAGGAACCCACUACCAUACAGAGCAACUCCUUGUGGACCCCCCUGGGAUCAGGACAGCGAGGGACAAGCGACAAAGAGGAUCAUCAGUGGCCAGCUAGUUUCUCUGGGGUUCAAACCUUGAACCAGUGCCCUAGUGAGGGGGCACUGGCCAUGGCCCUUGACCUUUGCUCUGCUUGUGUCUUGAGUCUGAGCCCUUUCCUGUACAUCUGUGCUCGUGUUCAUCUGCUAGUGAACUGGAGUGCUGCCCUCCCCGAGGAGGGUCGUCCCUUGUGACUGAUCAUGCUGUCCUAACAAUGUCCUGAGCAAAAGGGUCCCUUUGGGAACCUCUCAGGAGGGGGACCCGGGUCAGGGGCGACCAGCAUCUUGCUGGCAACUCCGUGGGUGGGGUGGGGUGGGGUGCUUCCUUCUGGAAUGAGCACGUGGCUGACCCCCCAAGGCAUGUCCCCUCCCCCUCCUCCACCCACCUUCUCGGAGAUGUCCCUUUUGGGGUAGUGGGGACAUUAGGAGCAACCUCCUAGGGUUGUUGUGAGAAUUAAAUGAACUGCAGCAGCCUGAGGCAGGGCUGGGCAGAGACCUCAGCACAUGUUUGUUGAAAGGUUUGCAGGUGGAUCUAGUCCUCCCGUUCAUGGCUCAUGUGUCUCAACCAUUCUCUCGCAGACUCCUGCAGCCCCUAUGCCCAGGGCUCUCCUUGCGCCAGGUAGGGGCUCUUUAGACAACAGGAUGUCCGGGAGACUUUGAGUAAGGACACGAGUGUGCGGUCAUUUCCAGGGCACUUUCUACAUAAUGUGACCAUGUUAUUCCUGUCAUUCAUGUGUCAAAGGGGGUAGCCUAGUGUCUAGAGAGGAGGGGUGAAUUGGCAUUGAUUUUUAUUUUUAUUUUUUAUUUUUUCAUGAUUUUUAAAGAGGUAGGUGGGAAAGAGAACUGGGAGAGCCCGGACUCACUCAUGAGAUUGAACUUAAAUUCACACGGAGGACACUUGGACUCUUGCCACAUUAGGUAAGAGAAGGGGUCAAAGUUGGACACGGGUGCCAUUGUGGCGACCCCUGAUGGUCCAGUCCCCUGUCCUCCACCUAAAGUUCUUCGAUCCAUACCAAACAUUUCACAAUGGGAAAUCCUAGCUUCCCAAGGGUGGUCUUGGGGAGCUGCUGGGGGUGGGGGUGGGGUGGCCCAAGUCUGGUAGCAUGUGCUGAGAUCACCUCUUAGGGAUGGUGUGACCUUAAACAAGUCAUUUAGCUUCCAGGUUUCAGUUCCUUUCACACCUAAAUAGGCAUUUCAAAAAAAAAAAAAAAAAAAAGGAGAAAUAAA
rnacentral:lncRNA from 1 species